rfam:Gymnopus luxurians FD-317 M1 unplaced genomic scaffold GYMLTscaffold_2, whole genome shotgun sequence.
GGUGAGAUGGCCGAGUGGUCUAAGGCGCUAGAUUUAGGUAUCUUUUGGAAGGCCUACCUCUAGUCAUUCGUGGCGUGGGUUCAAAUCCCACUCUCAUCA